GUGCUCACUUCGGCGGCACGCGUACUAAAAUUGGAACAAUACAGAGAAGAUUAGCACGGCCCCUGUGCAAGGAUGGCAUGCAAAUUUGUGAAGCAUUACAAAUUAAA